rnacentral:rRNA from 1 species
GACGAACGCUGGCGGCGCGCUUAACACAUGCAAGUCGAACGGAAAGGCCUGCUUUCCCUUGUGGAUUGCGGGUACUCGAGUGGCGAACGGGUGAGUAACACGUGAGUGAUCUGCCCCCAACUUGGGUAUAAGCCUGGGAAACUGGGUCUAAUUCCCGAUAGGACUGCAGGGUGGUGCCUGUGGUGGAAAACGAUUUUCUAGUGGUUGGGGAUGAGCUCGCGGCCUAUCAGCUUGUUGGUGGGGUAAUGGCCUACCAAGGCGGCGACGGGUAGCCGGCCUGAGAGGGUGGACGGCGACAUUGGGACUGGGAUACGGCCCAGACUCCUACGGGAGGCAGCAGUGGGGAAUAUUGCACAAUGGGCGGAAGCCUGAUGCAGCGACGCCGCGUGGGGGAUGACGGCCUUCGGGUUGUAAACUCCUUUCGACCGCGAGGAAGCCACCUGGUUGGAAGGGUGGUGACGGUAGUGGUAGAAGAAGCACCGGCUAACUACGUG